rnacentral:rRNA from 1 species
GACGUAGGGCGCGAGCGUUGUCCGGAUUUAUUGGGCGUAAAGAGCUCGUAGGCGGCUUGUCGCGUCGUUCGUGAAAACCUGCAGCUCAACUGCAGGCUUGCGGUCGAUACGGGCAGGCUAGAGUUCGGUAGGGGAGACUGGAAUUCCUGGUGUAGCGGUGAAAUGCGCAGAUAUCUGGAGGAACACCAGUGGCGAAGGCGGCUUCCUGGCCUGCAACUGACGCUGAGACGCGAAAGCGUGGGGAGCGAACCGG